GACGAAACGUGCGAACGUUAUUCGGAAUCACUGGGCUUAAAGGGCGCGUAGGCGGGCCAGCAAGUCAGGGGUGAAAGCCCACGGCUCAACCGUGGAAGUGCCUCUGAUACUGCGGGCCUCGAGGGAGGUAGGGGCGUGCGGAACUUCCGGUGGAGCGGUGAAAUGCGUAGAUAUCGGAAGGAACACCGGUGGCGAAAGCGGCGCGCUGGACCUCUUCUGACGCUGAGGCGCGAAAGCCAGGGGAGCAAACGGG
rnacentral:rRNA from 1 species